rnacentral:rRNA from 1 species
GACUGGCUCAGGAUGAACGCUAGCGACAGGCCUAACACAUGCAAGUCGAGGGGCAGCGGAGAGGUAGCAAUACCUUUGCCGGCGACCGGCGCACGGGUGAGUAACACGUAUGCAAUCCACCUGUAACAGGGGGAUAACCCGGAGAAAUCCGGACUAAUACCCCAUAAUAUGGGCGCUACGCAUGGAGAGCCCAUUAAAGAGAGCAAUUUUGGUUACAGACGAGCAUGCGCUCCAUUAG